UACAGGGGGGGCAAGCGUUGUUCGGAAUUACUGGGCGUAAAGGGCUCGUAGGCGGCCAACUAAGUCACACGUGAAAUCCCCAGGCUUAACCUGGGAACUGCGUGUGAUACUGGAUGGCUUGAAUUCGGGAGAGGGAUGCAGAAUUCCAGGUGUAGCGGUGAAAUGCGUAGAUAUCUGGAGGAAUACCGGUGGCGAAGGCGGCCCUCUGGACGGAUACUGACGCUGAGGCGCGAAGGCGUGGGGAUCAAACAGG
rnacentral:rRNA from 1 species